UGUGUCUUUCCUUCUGUGUGUGCUGCAAAUGACUUAGAGCCACACUGGAGGAGGCACUGU
ensembl:miRNA